UCAAAAACAUGUCUUAUUGAUUUUAAUUUUAAGUUUAACCUGCCCCCUGAUUUUUUAAAUGGCUGCAGUAUUUUGACUGUACUAAGGUAGCAUAAUCAUUAGUUUCUUAAUUAGAAGCUGGAAUGAAUGGUUGGAUGAAAUAGAUUCUGUCUCUAUUUAAUUUUAAUUAUAAUUUUAUUUUUUAGUAAAAAAGCUGAAAUUAUUUUGAAAGACGAGAAGACCCUAUAGAGUUUUAUAUAUUAAUAGGAUUAAUUUUAUUAGAAUAAAAAUUUUUAAUUUUAUAAUAUAUUUAAUUGGGGUGAUUGAAAAAUUUAAUUAACUUUUUAUUUUAUUGAACAUUAAUUUAUGAAUAUUUGAUCCGUGGGUCACGAUUAAAAGAUUAAAUUACCUUAGGGAUAACAGCGUAAUAUUUUCUGAGAGUUCUUAUCGAAGAAAAAGAUUGCGACCUCGAUGUUGGAUUAAAGUGAAUUAUAGGUGUAGAAGCUUAUAUUAUUAGGUCUGUUCGACCUUUAAAAUUUUACAUGAUCUGA
rnacentral:rRNA from 1 species